UACGUAGGGCGCAAGCGUUGUCCGGAUUUAUUGGGCGUAAAGUGUUCGUAGGCGGCUUAGAAAGUCAGGUGUGAAAACUCUGGGCUUAACCCAGAGACGCCACUUGAUACUUCUAUGGCUUGAGUUCGGUAGGGGACCAUGGAAUUCCUGGUGUAGCGGUGAAAUGCGCAGAUAUCAGGAGGAACACCGAUGGCGAAGGCAGUGGUCUGGGCCGAUACUGACGCUGAGGAGCGAAAGCGUGGGGAGCGAACAGG
rnacentral:rRNA from 1 species